rnacentral:rRNA from 1 species
GACGGAGGGGGCUAGCGUUGUUCGGAAUUACUGGGCGUAAAGAGCUCGUAGGCGGUCUGUCGCGUCGGCUGUGAAACCCCGAGGCUCAACCUCGGGCCUGCAGUCGAUACGGGCAGACUAGAGUGUGGUAGGGGAGACUGGAAUUCCUGGUGUAGCGGUGAAAUGCGCAGAUAUCAGGAGGAACACCGGUGGCGAAGGCGGGUCUCUGGGCCAUAACUGACGCUGAGGAGCGAAAGCGUGGGGAGCGAACAGG